rnacentral:lncRNA from 1 species
AGUUCAUAAAAGAUCUCCCAUACAAUUUUUACUUUAGGAGUCAUUGUAGUUUUAAAAAUAGUUCAAAAUAUUAUUGUUUAAGAUCUCUCAAGUUUUUACUGAUCUUAUACUUUCGUAAAAUCCUCAAUUAUUUUUUUAAUAUAUUCUCGAAUAUUCGGAAUUUCAUUGCUUCCGAAAGGUCUUGGAUAGUAAAGAUAAAAUUGAUACUCCGAGAGAAAUUCCGAAUUUUAGACAUAAUUGGACCUCGAGAGACUCGAAUUUUAUAGAUACGAUUGGCCCUUAGGAAACGCGAAUUUUAUACAUAAUAGAACCUCGGGAGUGUGAAGAUUGGUUCCUAAGAUGCUCGGAAAAUUGAUAGAAGCUAAACUUCUCCAUUUUGCUCUUUCAUACAUCUUACUUUAAAGGCCUAUUUAAGGUUGAGUCCAAUAAAUCUGAUCUUUUAUACGGGACAAAUGAAUAGAAGGCAUGAAAUUCGAUGCCUCUUACCUCUGCAAGAGGAUGAACAAUUUAGGUAGUCCAUAGAGGCAUUGGUAAAAUGGCUUUUCCCCCUUUAAAGAAGCGUAAACAUCGCUUCUAUUGUUCGAACUAUGCUAAUUGUGCAACUUAAGAGUUACUCGUCGUUUUAAUAUAAGCAAUUAGGCCUAUUUCUGAAUGUAAACGAGCUGAACUCUUGUAUGCUGUGAGAGUUACAAUAUGUUAAAACUGCUAAACAAAUUGACCACGAAAGUUUCGAGUCCAGUACUUAAACUAGAUUAACGAUGUCCGUCUCAUUGCUGUUGUUACCGUCGGCUAUGUUACGAAUCAGUUGUUACGAGUCUCGCGAGCAACUUAGUUGGCCCAUGUCAUUACAUAAGAGGCGAGUUCGUGAUAACUCCACUCAUAAAUCCACAAUCCGGAAACUGCAUUGCGCAAGGGGAGAAAACAUAAGAAGUAAACUAACUUCCCUCGACGCUAUGAAGGUUGUACAAGUUUAGAAUUGGUAUUAAUUAAACAGGAGCAUACUAGUAGCAAAAGAUAAAUCGGAAAUUAAGGUUAGAAGCAUCGUUAAGUGAACUGCAAGCGUGCCAAUUCGGCGUAUAAUGAGAUCUGACCGAUGUCAAGAAGCGUGGCUAUAUGUAUAUUAAUAAGUUAAACGCUGAAUUCGACCUGACUAACUCCAAAAAUUUCGAUUUGUUAACGUUUUUCGUGAAUUUAAAUUUAGCGGUAGCCAUUAUUUAUUUUUAAAACUAUAAAUUAAUGCUUACGUGUUUGGCUACCGAUGUCACGAAACUGAAUAAUUUAAACCGUGAAUAAUACAAGCGUUGAAUGAAUAACCGAGAGUUAAAUUUAAAAAUAUAAAUAUAUAUAUAUAUAUAUUGUACGAUAAUGUUUAGCGAUUGCUCCCCGAUGUUGAGAAGAGUC